UAGUUGGUAGGUAAGGCUCACCAAGGCGACGAUCCCUAGCUGGUCUGAGAGGAUGAUCAGCCACACUGGAACUGAGACACGGUCCAGACUCCUACGGGAGGCAGCAGUGGGGAAUAUUGCACAAUGGGCGCAAGCCUGAUGCAGCCAUGCCGCGUGUGUGAAGAAGGCCUUCGGGUUGUAAAGCACUUUCAGUCGUGAGGAAGGUAGUGUAGUUAAUAGCUGCAUUAUUUGACGUUAGCGACAGAAGAAGCACCGGCUAACUCCGUGCCAGCAGCCGCGGUAAUACGGAGGGUGCGAGCGUUAAUCGGAAUUACUGGGCGUAAAGCGCAUGCAGGUGGUUUGUUAAGUCAGAUGUGAAAGCCCGGGGCUCAACCUCGGAAUAGCAUUUGAAACUGGCAGACUAGAGUACUGUAGAGGGGGGUAGAAUUUCA
rnacentral:rRNA from 1 species